rnacentral:rRNA from 1 species
UACGAAGGGGGCUAGCGUUGUUCGGAAUCACUGGGCGUAAAGGGCGCGUAGGUGGUUUGAUAAGGGUGUGGUGAAAGUCCGGGGCUCAACCCCGGAUCUGCCGUGCCGACUGUCAAACUCGAGGGCUGUAGAGGCAGACGGAAUUCCGGGUGUAGCGGUGGAAUGCGUAGAGAUCCGGAGGAAGACCGGUGGCGAAGGCGGUCUGCUGGGCAGUUUCUGACACUGAGGCGCGACAGCGUGGGGAGCAAACAGGG